AAAACCACGCGAUUUCUCUUCGAGAAUCCCCCAUUUAACCCAAAAAUCACACUUUUUCUCUUUGAGAAACCCCCAUUUAUCCGAAAAUCACGCAUUUUCUCUUCGUAAAUCACCCACUCAACGCAAAACACACGUGUUUUCUCUUCGCAAAUCCCCCAUUUAAGCGAAAAUCACACUUUUUCUCUUCGAGAAUCCCCCAUUUAAGCAAAAAUCACGUGUUUUCUGUUCGGAAAUCCCACAUUUAAGUGAAAAUCACGCGUUUUCUUUUUCAAAUCACCCAUUUAACACGAAAAUCACGUGUUUUCUCUUCGAGAAUCCCCCAGUUUACCCAAAAAUCACGUUUUCACUUCGAGAAUCCUCCAUUUUAGCGAAAAUCACGCGUUUUCUCUUCGCAAAUCCCCCAUUUAAGCAAAAAUCACGCGUUUUCUCUUCGAGAAUCCCCCAUUUAAACAAAAAUCACGCGUUUUCUCUUGGCAAAUCCCCCAUUUAAGCGAAAAUCACGCGUUUUCUCUUCGAGAAUCCCCCAUUUAAGCGAAAAUCACGCUUUUUCUCUUCAAGAAUCCCUCAUUUAACCUGAAAAUCACGUGUUUUCUCUUCGAGAAUCCUCCAUUUAACCCGAAAAUCACGCGUUUUCUCUUCGAGAAUCCCCCAUUUAAGCGAAAAUCACGCGUUUUCUCUUCGAGAAUCCCCGAUUUAACCCGAAAAUCACGCGUUUUCUCUUCGAGAAUCCCCCAUUUAAGCGAAAAUCACGCGUUUUCUCCGCGAGAAUCCCCGAUUUAACCCGAAAAUCACGCGUUUUCUCUUCGCAAAUCCCCCAUUUAAGCGAAAAUCACGUUUUCUCUUCGAGAAUCCCUCAUUUAAGCGAAAAUCACGCGUUUUCUCUUUGCAAAUCCCCCAUUUACUCGAAAAUCACGCGUUUUCUCUUCGCAAAUCCCCCAUUUAACCCGAAAAUCACGCGUUUUCUCUUUGAGAAUCCACCAUUUAACCCGAAAGUCAUGCGUUUUCUCUUCGAGAAUCCCCCAUUUUAGCGAAAAUCACGCGUUUUCUCUUCGCAAAUCCCCCAUUUAACCCAAAAAUCACGCGUUUUCUCUUUGAGAAUCCCCCUUUUAAGCAAAAAUCACGAGUUUUCUCUUCGAGAAUUCCCCAUUUUAGCAAAAAUCACGCGUUUUCUCUUCGAGAAACCACCAUUUCUGCGAAAAUCACGCGUUUUCUCUUCAAGAAUCCCCCAUUUAACCGGAAAAUCACGCGUUUUCUCUUCUCAAAUCCCCCAUUUAAGCGAAAAUCACGCGUUUUCUCUUCGAGAAUCCCCCAUUUAUUUGAAAAUCACGCAUUUUCUCUUCGAGAAUCCCCCAUUUAAUCAAAAAAUCACGCGUUUCCUCAUUGAGAAUCCCCCAUUUAAGCGAAAAGCACGCGUUUUCUCUGCGAGAAUCCCCCACUGAAUCCAUAAAUCACGAAUUACCUGUCCGGGAAUCCCCCAUUUAACCAAAAAUCACGCGUUUCCUCUUUGAGAAUCCCCCAUUUAACCCGAAAAUCACGCGUUUUCUCUUCAAGAAUCCACCAUUUAAGCGAAAAUCACGCGUUUUCUCUUCGAGAAUCCCCCAUUGAAGCGAAAAUCACGUGUUUUCUCCUCGAGAAUCCCCCAUUUAACCUGAAAAUCACGCGUUUUCUCUUCGAGAAUUCCCCAUUUAAGCGAAAAUCACGCAUUUUCUCUUUGCAAUUCCCCAAUUAAGCGAAAAUCACGCAUUUUCUCUUUGAGAACCCCCCAUUUAAGCAAAAAUCUCGCGUUUUCUCUUCGCAAAUCCCCCAUUUAAGCAAAAAUCACGCGUUUUCUCUUCGAGAAUUCCCCAUUUUAGCAAAAAUCACGCAUUUUCUCUUCGAGAAUACACCUUUUCUGCGAAAAUCACGCGUUUUCUCUUCAAGAAUCCCCCAUUUAACUGGAAAAUCACGCGUUUUCUCUUCUCAAAUCCCCCAUUUAAGCGAAAAUCACGCGUUUCCUCAUUGAGAAUCCCCCAUUUAAGCGAAAAGCACGCGUUUUCUCUGCGAGAAUCCCCCACUAAAUCCAAAAAUCACGAAUUAUCUCUUCGCAAAUACCCCAUUUAACCAAAAAUCACGCGUUUUCUGUUCGAGAAUCCCGCAUUGAAGCGAAAAUCACGUGCUUUCUCCUCGAGAAUCCCCCAUUUAACCUGAAAAUCACGCGUUUUCUCUUCGAGAAUUCCCCAUUUAAGCGAAAAUCACGCAUUUUCUCUUUGCAAUUCCCCAAUUAAGCAAAAAUCACGCAUUUUCUCUUCGAGAAUCCCCCAUUUAAGCAAAAAUCUCGCGUUUUCUCUUCGCAAAUCCCCCAUUUAAGCGAAAAUCACGGGUUUCCUUUUCGAGAAUUCCCCAUUUAAGCGAAAAUCACGCGUUUUCUCUGCGAGAAUCCCCCAUUUAAGCGAAAAUCAUGGGUUUUCUCUUUCGAGAAUUCCCCAUUUAAGCGAAAAUCACGCGUUUUCUCUUCGAGAAUCCCCCAUUUAAGCAAAAAUCAUGCGUUUCCUCAUCGAGAAUCCCCCAUUUAAGCAAAAAUCACGCGUUUUCUCUUCGAGAAUCCCCCAUUUAAACCAAAAAUCACGCAUUUUCUCUUCGAAAAUCCCCCAUUUAACCCAAAAAUCACGCGUUUUCUCUUCGAGAAUCCCCAUUUAAGCCAAAAAUCGCGCAUUUUCUCUUCGAGAAUCACCCAUUUAAGCGAAAAUCACGCGUUUUCUCCUCGAGAAUCCCCCAUUUAACUCAAAAAUCACGCGUUUUCUCCUCGCAAAUCCCCCAUUUAAGCAAAAAUCACGUGUUUUCUUUUCGAGAAUCCCCCAUUUAACCCGAAAAUCACGCGUUUUCUCUUUGCAAAUCCCCCAUUUCAGCGAAAAUCACGCAUUUUCUCUUCGACAAUCCCACAUUUAAGCAAAAAUCGCGCGUUUUCUCCUCGAGAAUCCCCCAUUUAAGCGAAAAUCACGCAUUUUCUCUUCGAGAAUCCCCCAUUUAAUUUGAAUGUCGCGCGUUUUCUCUUCACAAAUCCCCCAUUUAAGCGAAAAUCACGUUUUCUGUUCGGAAAUCCCACAUUUAAGUGAAAAUCACGCGUUUUCUUUUUCAAAUCCCCCAUUUAACACGAAAAUCACGUGUUUUCUCUUCGAGAAUCCCCCAUUUUAGCGAAAAUCACGCGUUUUCUCUUUGCAAAUCCCCCAUUUAAGCAAAAAUCACGCGUUUUCUCUUCGAGAAUCCCCCAUGUAUCCCAAAAAUCACGCGUUUUCUCUUUGCAAAUCCCCC
ensembl:lncRNA